CGCCCCCCUGAGGGGGCCGGGCCGCGCCGGGCCGGGCCGAGUCGGGGUGUUCGCCGUUCGCCCGUGGCAGGUGUUUGUGCGCGUCGCGGGAGCGGCGGGAGGCCUCAGGCAGCCGGGGCUUUGGCUCCGAGCUCGCCUGAGCGCGGUGCCAGAGCAGCCGGCACCGGGGCGCAGCUGGGGUUUGCCCCGCUCCGCUCUACCGACGAGGCUAAUGCAGGUCUGAAGCUACGAGAAGGCCUCAGUGCACCCAAGGCAGCGCGUGGCUCCGGGUCACUGCAGCACACGCUGAGGCCGCCCGAGCGGAGGGUCCCUGGUCACCGAAGGGAGUGCCGUGUAGUCGGGGUUUCCACCGGCCAAGCAACAGGAGCAUCACGGGCAGCGCUGUAGAUGCUCACAGAAAACUAAAUGCUGCUGAAUCAGAACCUGCAAGUACUGAAGUCAGAAGAGUGCGUGGAUUUGUCAGAAAAUUGUGCAUCCCUGGGAAGCAAGUUUGAAGACAAAGUUACAGCCCCGUAUAAGAAGUAAACCAACUGAAUGGCUGAAAUAAAUUUUUGAGAUUUUUUUUUCA
rnacentral:lncRNA from 1 species